GACGAACGCUGGCGGCGUGCCUAAUACAUGCAAGUCGAGCGAACCCUUCGGGGUUAGCGGCGGACGGGUGAGUAACACGUAGGCAACCUGCCUGUAAGACUGGGAUAACUACCGGAAACGGUAGCUAAUACCGGAUAAUUUAUUUCUUCGCCUGGAGGAAUAAUGAAAGACGGAGCAAUCUGUCACUUACGGAUGGGCCUGCGGCGCAUUAGCUAGUUGGUGGGGUAACGGCUCACCAAGGCGACGAUGCGUAGCCGACCUGAGAGGGUGAACGGCCACACUGGGACUGAGACACGGCCCAGACUCCUACGGGAGGCAGCAGUAGGGAAUCUUCCGCAAUGGGCGAAAGCCUGACGGAGCAACGCCGCGUGAGUGAUGAAGGUUUUCGGAUCGUAAAGCUCUGUUGCCAGGGAAGAACGUCCGGUAGAGUAACUGCUACCGGAGUGACGGUACCUGAGAAGAAAGCCCCGGCUAACUACGUGCCAGCCGCCGCGGUAAAAC
rnacentral:rRNA from 1 species